rnacentral:rRNA from 1 species
GAUGAACGCUGGCGGCGUGCCUAAUACAUGCAAGUCGAACGGGGAGUAGCAAUACUCUUAGUAGCGAACGGGUGAGUAACGCGUUGGUACCUGCCCCGAAGCGGGGGAUAACGGACCGAAAGGUCCGCUAAUACCCCAUGUGCUCGGUAACGAGUAAAGGUGAAAACCACUUUGGGAGGGGCCUGCGUCCCAUCAGCUAGUUGGUAAGGUAACGGCUUACCAAGGCGAUGACGGGUAGGGGACCUGAGAGGGUGGCCCCCCACAAUGGAACUGAAACACGGUCCAUACACCUAUGGGUGGCAGCAGUAGGGAAUAUUGGUAAUGGGCGCAAGCCUGAACCAGCAACGCCGCGUGUGCGAUGACGGCCUUCGGGUUGUAAAGCACUUUUGACUGGGACGAGGAAGGACGGUACCGGUCGAAUCAGCCUCGGCUAACUACGUG